UGGGACUUCAAAGCAAAACCGCCCACGUGGUCACGGAGUAGCAGACAGCGAGUCAGGGUUUUCGCAGCUUACUGCGGGGUUCGUUCUCCCGGGAUACAGACGGACCACUCCGGACAAAGCGUGCAGUUUCACUCCAGAAAGUCAACCAUCGGAAGGACAUUGUGUUCCCUUGGCUGCUGUUUGAUCUAUGGAAGCUGUGUUUGCUGUCAAACUUCUCCCAGAGUGGGACGGCCCGGCGUACGAGGAACACCGCAACGUAUCGAGUUGCACACCGACUGGCUGCCAAUACGUCUGAGGGGAAAACGCUACCAGGACAAACUGCACUGAAGAUUCCAAUCCCCUGGAAUCAGCACUACUUCACUGUCAUUAGUGGCCAUUUGGGUUCUCACCCUGGAAAUAAACAACUUGC